UGUCCUGAAACAACCCAAACCACAGUGUCACCACUAUUUCCACACAGGGCUUUCCCCAUUCUGCCUGGGUCGUGGUCUUACUCUGUAAGGAGACAAAUGGCCACUCCUGACAUUUGGCCCCAUUUCCAAAGUAAAGUUUCCCAUUUGGUGUCCUGGAUGACAAAGGGCAUAGGGCUGUGUUCCCACACCAUUAGAAACUGGAUCACAGGUUCCAAUCCUCCCCCACGCCCCACCCCUGAAACUCUCCAUUCUUCAAGGCUGCUGAUUUGGGCUCAAGUGUCAGAAGGAAAACCCUAAGGUUGAACUGAUCUGAAAGAAUGAGAGUAAGUAAGCACACACAGGGGGUUGCCCUUGCCAAGUGCCUAUGUACUUACUCCCCCUCGGGAGGCCCCAGCUCUCAGUGCCUUAGCCCUGGACCUAAAAAGCCUACCGAGCAUUUUCUGCAGGUGACAGUAAAGACUGGCUGAAUGAGGGAAGCAAUUCCAGAUGCUGGCAACUGUGCAGUUUUCCACAGGAGAAUCUACCUCGAGCCCCAAGUUGACAACCACUGCUGAGGAUUCCAGGAAGAGAUGGGAGCAGGCCGAAUAAUUGCUGCUCAAGUCCACAGUGGAGCCCCAGCCCUGUCACGAGCCAGCUCCAGAGCUUUGGGCAAUCCUGCCCUCAUCUGGACCUGUAAGAGAGAACUACUAUACUGCUCGCCUGCCAGGGCUGCUGGUCAUCAUUAGGCUCUCCAAGCACAGUGGGUAACUUCCAUUGCCUCAUUUCACCUUCAGUCUGCUCCCACAAGGACAUACUGGAACACUGCAUUUCAGACAAGGAAACUGAGACCCGGCUGAAGGAAGGUCUUGAGUACUCAACUGGUACAAGAUCACACAGUUGGCUGGUGGUCAAAUUGAAAUUUCAGGUAUAGAUUUCAGACUUCUGGGGUGCCUGGGUGGCUUAGUCGGUUAAGAGUCCGGCUUCAACCCAGGUCGUGAUCUCAUGGUUCGUGAGUUCUAGCCCCAUAUCGCGUCAGGCUCUCUGCUGUCAACGCAGAGCCAGCUCUGGAUCUUCUUUCCCCUUCUCUCUCUCUGCUCCUUCCCUGCUCAUGUGUUCUCUCUCUCUCUCUCAAAAAUAAUAAAAAUUGAAAAAAUUGAAAAAAAAAAAGAGUUUUUAGACUUCAGAUUUUGUCCUCUAGGCCCACACAUGUCCUCCUAACUACCCAGCCUCCUCAGUCAUAUGCUUGGUCCCACAUCCCUCUUCUUCCUCUAUUCCAGCAACAUUGCCCAACUGCUCUUCCCAGAAUGUACCAGUUCGUACCACCGGGUCUUCACCCCCACCAUUCCCUUUGCCUGGACUUCCACGUCCUUCUCCUUAUCUCAGUGCCAUACUGACCUUUCUCUGAAGACUUUCUUGACCCUUCAAGAGGAUGUGGCCACUAUCCCCUCUCCCUGUCCCUGUGACCUCUGCCUGGCAGAGCUGAUGGGCCCAAGGGAAGGCACAUGACCAACCUCUCCAGAAAGGUCUGUUUCUCGAGGAGCUAAACAAUUAUCCUAACAGCUACAGUUUCCACUGUGUUUAAUCUGUACCAGACACUGUUACAUGUGCUGCACAGGUGAUGCUUCAUUUACACCUCUCAAUGACACCGAGGUAGGUAUUAUGAACUGCAAUCGCCAUUUUAUUGACAGGGAAACUGAGGCACAGGAAAGUCACAUGGCCAGGAGGAGGAGCUGUGGUUGGAUCUACCAAGCCUUCAUGAUAUUUCUGUUCUUUCUACUCACUGCACGCCUCCUCCCUAGAGCCUGGCAUACACACACUAUCUGCUAUCAUCAGGCAGGGCCAGGCCGGGCCCUUCCAGGAAGAGCCUUCACUCCCUGCUCUGGACUGCAUCCGCUGGGACCUCCCUGAGCCGAGACAUCUGUGUAGGUCCUCCAGAGCAAAGGUGCCCACUCUAGCCUAGGGCAGGUCUGACACACACAGAUCCUGGAGGCCAGCAGAGGGAGGACACAGAUCCUGGAGGCCAGCAGAGGGACACAUGGAGACACCUGGCAUUUUUGUCAUCCCCUCCCCUGCUAUAGGCUACCAGCCCCCUCAUCUGGGGGUACCAACAGCCUGGUUUUCCUUAUUCACGUCAGUCCCUGAGAUCUGGUCAGCCAAAAACAAGCACAAGACCCCAACCAGUUCAGUGGGACUCAGCCCAGGAACCUUUUACUGUUCUCCCCCUGGGGAUUCUACAUCGGUAAGACAUAAGCCUGGGUUGCUGAGCCAACCAUGUCUCCACUGAGGAGAGAAGCUACUUAAGAGUAAAGCUAAUGUAGGAAAACCCAACUGAGAAACAGAACGAGAAAAAAAGAGUCCUGACGCCAUCCACUGAGCUCCUGGAUACAGCCAGGAGCUCCCUACUUUGCUGCAGUCAGUUUGAGCUCGGUUUUUGGACAUUAGCAGUCAAAACAGAUCUGCUUAGCACAGUGUGUGAGUUUGGGUGAUGUACAAAGAUGACAACAAGUGUGUGUGUGAAUGACCCCAAACCCAAACCCUGCACUCCCACAUUCCAGUCCAGGCUCUGCCCACAGUGUGCUGCAAACAGUCGCCUGUUGUUCCUUCUCACCUCUCUUGUCCAGUGACCGAGUCAGACCUUCUACCAGCAUGGCAGCCUCCUCACCACUCUUGGGGAACUGGGCACCCACCCAUGACUGGAUCUUGGGUGGCAGUGCACCCAGGAACUGCUCCAGCACCAGCAACUCUAGCAUCUGCUCCUUGGAGUGUGCUUCAGGCUGCAGCCACUGGUGGCACAGUUCACGGAGCUGGGCCAGGGCCUCAUGUGGGUUGGAUGCCUCCUCAUAGCAGAAGCGCCGGAAGCGAAGACGUGCAGCCUCAGGGUGGACAGUGUGGCCAGGGCUAGAUUCCUGGACCUCAGAGAGGCUAGCCUCCUCAUCCUCCACCUUCACACGUAGGAAACCAUCCUGUUCCCAGGGCAUGGGGCUCAGAGGGCUCUUGGGGAUGGCCAUCAAGCAGCAGCACUCCAGUGAGGCACAGAAUGGCUGGAACGUUGGAACCGGGUC